rnacentral:rRNA from 1 species
AGACCCGAAACCCGGUGAUCUAGCCAUGGGCAGGUUGAAGGUUGGGUAACACUAACUGGAGGACCGAACCGACUAAUGUUGAAAAAUUAGCGGAUGACCUGUGGCUGGGGGUGAAAGGCCAAUCAAACCGGGAGAUAGCUGGUUCUCCCCGAAAGCUAUUUAGGUAGCGCCUCGUGAAUUCAUCUCCGGGGGUAGAGCACUGUUUCGGCUAGGGGGCCAUCCCGGCUUACCAACCCGAUGCAAACUGCGAAUACCGGAGAAUGUUAUCACGGGAGACACACGGCGGGUGCUAACGUCCGUCGUGAAGAGGGAAACAACCCAGACCGCCAGCUAAGGUCCCAAAGUCAUGGUUAAGUGGGAAACGAUGUGGGAAGGCCCAGACAGCCAGGAUGUUGGCUUAGAAGCAGCCAUCAUUUAAAGAAAGCGUAAUAGCUCACUGGUCGAGUCGGCCUGCGCGGAAGAUGUAACGGGGCUAAACCAUGCACCGAAGCUGCGGCAGCGACGUUUAUGCGUUGUUGGGUAGGGGAGCGUUCUGUAAGCCUGCGAAGGUGGCCUGUGAGGG